CUCAGAUUGAACGCUGGCGGCAGGCUUAACACAUGCAAGUCGAGCGGGGGAAGGUAGCUUGCUACCGGACCUAGCGGCGGACGGGUGAGUAAUGCUUAGGAAUCUGCCUAUUAGUGGGGGACAACAUCUCGAAAGGGAUGCUAAUACCGCAUACGUCCUACGGGAGAAAGCAGGGGAUCUUCGGACCUUGCGCUAAUAGAUGAGCCUAAGUCGGAUUAGCUAGUUGGUGGGGUAAAGGCCUACCAAGGCGACGAUCUGUAGCGGGUCUGAGAGGAUGAUCCGCCACACUGGGACUGAGACACGGCCCAGACUCCUACGGGAGGCAGCAGUGGGGAAUAUUGGACAAUGGGGGGAACCCUGAUCCAGCCAUGCCGCGUGUGUGAAGAAGGCCUUAUGGUUGUAAAGCACUUUAAGCGAGGAGGAGGCUACUUUAGUUAAUACCUAGAGAUAGUGGACGUUACUCGCAGAAUAAGCACCGGCUAACUCUGUGCCAG
rnacentral:rRNA from 1 species